AUGAACGCUGGCGGCGUGCCUAAUACAUGCAAGUCGAGCGAACAGACGAGGAGCUUGCUCCUCUGAUGUUAGCGGCGGACGGGUGAGUAACACGUGGAUAACCUACCUAUAAGACUGGGAUGACUUCGGGAAACCGGAGCUAAUACCGGAUAACAUGUUGAACCGCAUGGUUCAACAGUGAAAGACGGUCUUUCUGUCACUUAUAGAUGUAUCCGCGCCGCAUUAGCUAGUUGGUAAGGUAACGGCUUACCAAGGCAACGAUGCGUAGCCGACCUGAGAGGGUGAUCGGCCACACUGGAACUGAGACACGGUCCAGACUCCUACGGGAGGAAGCAGUAGGGAAUCUUACGCAAUGGGCGAAAGCCUGACGGAGCAACGCCGCGUGAGUGAAGAAGGUCUUCGGAUCGUAAAACUCUGUUAUUAGGGAAGAACAAAUGUGUAAGUACCUAUGCACGUCUUGACGGUACCUAAUCAGAAAGCCACGGCUAACUACGUG
rnacentral:rRNA from 1 species